rnacentral:rRNA from 1 species
UACGAAGGGGGCUAGCGUUGUUCGGAAUUACUGGGCGUAAAGCGCACGUAGGCGGAUAUUUAAGUCAGGGGGUGAAAUCCCAGAGCUCAACUCUGGAACUGCCUUUGAUACUGGGUAUCUUGAGUAUGGAAGAGGUAAGUGGAAUUGCGAGUGUAGAGGUGAAAUUCGUAGAUAUUCGCAGGAACACCAGUGGCGAAGGCGGCUUACUGGUCCAUAACUGACGCUGAGGUGCGAAAGCGUGGGGAGCAAACAGG